ensembl:miRNA
GUGAUGCCUAUUGGAUGUAACAGCAACUCCAUGUGGAAGGUUUCAUCCCUUUUCCAGUGGGGCUGCUGUUAUUUUUGAUAGGCUGUCAG